rnacentral:misc_RNA from 1 species
AACAUCGCGCACCUGCGGGAACCUGCGGAGGGAUCAUUACAGAGUUGCAAAACUCCCUAAACCAUUGUGAACGUUACCUAAACCGUUGCUUCGGCGGGCGGCCCGGGUCCUUCCCGGCGCCCAUCGGCCCUCGCGGGCGCCCGCCGGAGGUAAACCAAACUAUUGCAUUGUAUGGCCUCUCUGAGUCUUUUGUACUGAAUAAGUCAAAACUUUCAACAACGGAUCUCAGAUCGGAAGAGC